rnacentral:lncRNA from 1 species
AUGCAAGGCCUCCCUCAACAAAGCUCUCGUGGUGGAGACUUAGUCACCUCAUACAACUGCAAGACCGAAGGAGAAUUCUCUGAUUUCUCACGAAGGACGGUGAAUGGCUGUCGGUCUUUGAUGUCAGUGUUGUCUCAGGCAGCCUUCAUCACCUCUGGAUUUCUAAAGGCAGCGUCUGAUCUUUUCCCCAGUGCUGGAGGACACAGGAGGUAACUAACUGACUUUUCCAAAACCGUUUCCCCCAUCCUUAGAAUGAAGACUAAGCCACUUGAUGAGAGCAACAGCCUUUAAAUAAAUAAUGCAGUUAUGUUUUUACAUUAUUUAAUAACGUGUAUCAGCUAUCUGUAAACUGAAACUCACAAUCGGAAUGUAAAUAAAAGAAUGUGACAGAAUCAUUUUUGCUGUUAGUUUGUACGUUUUUCUCCCCAUAGUUCUCCCCUUUUCUGUUUCCGGCUCCAGCGCACAGCCAGGCGUCAUGCUGGUUUGCCUAAGAGGACAUCUGUGGCAGGCUGGUUAGCUGCCCUUCCUGGCUUUCACUUUCCAAAAGUCUAAGACAAAUGAGGGCUCAUCAUGGGUGUGCAUGCACAGGGGAGUAACUAGAAAGUGAUCAGGGUCCAGAAAGCAAAGCAGAUCCUUCAGGGGAAACAAAAGCACCUGUGGGCCAUCAGAGACAAGAACAUGCUCAAUGACAGCAGCCAGCCUUGCUAGAGACAGGUCCCAGGCAAGGUCCAGGAGAGCAGCGCCAGCAGCCAGCAUGCCAGGAGCAUCCAGCAAGAGCUGACAUUGAUGACCAAAGGAGCAUUCCCCACUCCUUGACAUGGUGUUGGAGCAGAGGCCCCUUGGAGAACCCUGAGAAGUUCCAAUUUCAUUUAAGAAAAUAGAAAUCUGUAACUAGAAAGAGAGCAAGAUGGGUUGCAGAUGGGGCAGAAGCCAUGGCAGGGCUCAGCCAUACCUGUCUGUCAUGCUUUAUGUGAAAAGAAGGGGAAGACCCAAGGGAAUGCAGAGGGACAUUCAGAUUUAAUGAACAGGACUCCUAUUCUCCUGGAAAUAUGGUGGCAGCUUAGUUUUGAAUCUUCAAAGCUCGCCUCAUAGAAACCACAGAGACCAACAUUGCAGAAGAGAAGAAGCAGACUGGAAGUGUGAUUUCAGCAAGCCACCGUGGCACUUCCUACCCCACAGGAAAGUCCUACUUCCAAUCCAGGAAAAUCCACCUCUUUCAAAUAUAGAUUUAAAAACUAGAAAGUACACAGCAUCUUUC